rnacentral:misc_RNA from 1 species
GCUGCAUCUCACAAAACCUUGGCCUGAUCCAACUGAAUGUUUCGUAGCUGCAGUCCUUAACGAUAUUUCAGAGCCUUGGUUUACAUCUGCUACCUCUAAAAAAGUUUGAUUGCAAAUGCCGAAUUCUGAUCUGAAAAAAUAAAGUAAAAACAUAUUAGGUACUUUAAAAUAUCAUUAAUGCUUCAGAAAGAUAGAUGAGUAAUUAAGUAACAAAAAAAUAAAACCUGCAAUAUUGAUUCGUGAUUUUUCUGAAGAAUAACUCCAAUAAUGUUUCUGAGAUCACCUUUGCCUUUGUCAACAUCUGGAAUCGGUAUAGUCACAUUAUCUCCAAUGUUGGCAGGUGGAUGAGACUUGUCAGAAGUAG